rnacentral:rRNA from 1 species
UGGGGAAUAUUGGACAAUGGGCGCAAGCCUGAUCCAGCAAUGCCGCGUGGAUGAAGAAGGUCUUCGGAUUGUAAAGUCCUUUCGGCGGGGACGAUGAUGACGGUACCCGCAGAAGAAGCCCCGGCUAACUUCGUGCCAGCAGCCGCGGUAAUACGAAGGGGGCUAGCGUUACUCGGAAUGACUGGGCGUAAAGGGCGCGUAGGCGGUUUGGACAGUUAGGCGUGAAAUUCCUGGGCUCAACCUGGGGGCUGCGCUGAAUACAUCCAGACUUGAGGGUGGAAGAGGGUCGUGGAAUUCCAAGUGUAGAGGUGAAAUUCGUAGAUAUUGGGAAGAACACCGGUGGCGAAGGCGGCGACCUGGUCCAUUACUGACGCUGAGGCGCGAAAGCGUGGGGAGCAAACA